rnacentral:lncRNA from 1 species
UUUUUUUUACUAAAAAUCAAGAAAAUGACAAUCCAAACAAGAGCACCGUGUUAACAAUCAAUUAACGAAAUCCAGGAUUGUUCCCAAAUCCUCGAGUGCAACAGUUACAAAAUGCUAAAGAAAGAGCACUGCCAGUAGGACAAAAUGUAAGCCAAAAAUCAAUCACCAUAAAGGCAGGCAUCAACAAUCCAGCCGUUACGCCACGUAUCCCCUCUUCUCUUCUUCUUUUUCUUCUUUCUUUAACCACUUCAAACGUUGGUUGAACGAACCUUCUCCCCCCCCCCCCCCCCCCCCCCCCCCCGCGCGUAAGGCAAUCCAGCUGUCCCUAUUCCGCGUAACCCCUAGGCAAUCCCAAUUCCCACCCCAUCAAGAUCUCCCUAUAAAUACCUUGACAGCCCGUCAACAUUCCUAUUCCAUCACAGAACAGCACAAGAAUUUCUAAGGUCCCGUCCCCUACUUUUUCAUCCCCACAUCGUUCAGUUCUUACUCCUCUCGACUUCUGCUGUAUUCUUCUUCUUCUUCCUAAAUGGCUUCUCAAGUUAGCUUCAUCAAGGCGUUGGUGUUCGCUGUUGUCAUGAUGUUGGCCGUAGCGGCGGCCUCCGCCCAAGAGUUGGGCCUCUCCCCGGCAGCUUCACCGGAUGCCGGAGCUGCUUUCUCUUUGCCGGUGUCCACCGCUUUCAUUGCCAGCUCCCUGCUCUUCUCUGUUUUUGCUCUGUUGAGGCACUAAGAUUACAGGAUGCAAGGAGAGAGGUUUUUGGGAUGGCGAGCGUACUUAGUCCUUCUAUGGUACCAGCAUAGUUAUUAUGGACCUAUUCAAUUUUAUUAUUUUAUGUAAAAAUUUGAGAUGACUGAGUCUAUAUAUGAUCCUUGUAUCUGUUGAUACAUAUAUUGUAUUAUAUUUAUACGUUGAUGAUGGUUGAUGGGAAAUAAAGUUUGCUAUUUAUUGUAUCAGUCCGUUCUUAUUUGGAGUUCUUCAUUUUUGCAAGACUCAGAUAGUAGACCCCAAUUUGUUGUCAUCCCAAAAAAAAAAAAGAGGAAAAAAGGGGCCAAAAGCCAAACAACAUGAAAGGUCUUUUAUCCCCCCCCCUUUUUUUUUUUUUAACAAAAUGAGAGGGGGAUAAUUAUUUACCCUCUCCCCCACCACUUGGGAUCCUCGGUGACAUGUUUUCUAUGUCAAUUCAAUAUCACCUAUAGUAUUGCGCCAAAUAUCAUAUUAUUAUUUACACUUGUGUUAAAUCAAACUAAAUUGAAUUAUUAAAAAAUUAAAGUGUAAAUAAUAACAAGACAUUUGGCGCAAUAUUAUAGGUGACAUUGGAUUGACAUAGAAAACGUGUAAUCAAAGAUUUCAAGUGCCCCACCCCCCAACACAAAAAAAAAAAAAAAAAAAAAAAGAGCAUGGGAGAGCGGCUACACAAUAAAAUUUUGCAAUUCCCAAAAAUUGAUCUAUUGUGUUAAAGUGGCUGUGAAUUGGUGAAAAAUUCAAUGGCGGAUUAAUGGGCUAAAGGUUGGAAUAUGGAAAUAGAUUUGAUACCACUACGGACUACCUAUUUCAGUUGUUGUUGCUCUCUGAAAUUACAUAUCCAUACAAGGGUUCGAGUUUCGAUUGAUAUUUGUGGAGUUUCUUUUUUUAAAUUUAUUUAAAGAAUAUAUAUGGUUGGUCCUAUUAAGGCUUCCCAUGUAUUAUAAUAUCUCUAUCUUAGUGAAGAAGACUGUUGUCAAAUAUGUAAAGAUAGCUUCUUUUUAGCUUCCAAUAUAUGUCCUCAAAUAUAUAUGGCUCGUAAAAAAGGAAAACAAAUUUAUCUAUUUGCGUCAUAGGCACAAUGGAUGAGACGCGUACAUUUGUCAUAUUAGUUUGUCGUACCAAGAAUUUUUCAAAAAAAAAAAAAAAAAAAAGGAGGUUUGGCAUACCAAGAAAAGAGCGUUCAAAAAUUUCUUUAUUUGUCCUUUAUCGAUGUAAGAUGUAAAAACUUUACGUCCAAAUCAACCAGUCCGACAAAUGAAGCCGUUACGUUACGUACGCCUUCUUCCUUUAGGCUUUAGCCACACAACAAAAUUCAAACGUCGGUGGUGAACCGCCUUUGCCGUCUUCAUCCUCUCCCGCUCCCACCACCUGUCGCCCUUCCACCUCUAUAUAUUCAAUCGCAAAAACAACUUCGAAUCAACCAAUUUACACGCCCUUUCCUCUCCUUUGAAGAUCCUUAACACCAUUUACACCCUCGAUCUCCUCUCAUUUUACAAAUGGCCUCUCUGCAGGGUAGCAUGAUCAAGGCCAUGGCAUUGGCAAUUGUGAUGUUGGCCGUUGCAGCCGCCUCAGCCCAAGACCUGUCCCCGGCACCGUCUCCCAGUGAAGGCAAUGCAGCAUUUUCUCUGCCGGUCUCCACCGCCUUGAUCGCGAGCUCCGUGCUCCUCUCUGUCUUCGCUCUGCUAAGGCAUUGAGUAUUUGAAGAGUUUUUACGUGAGCAGCAAAGAGCAAAUUGUUUGAACAUGGAGGAGAGAAAGAGGGUUUUGUUUUGGAUACAUUUAUUUUGUUUUGGAUUUUAUUACCAGAUUUUUUGUAUUAAUUACAUGUUAUUGAAAUGUACUGAGAAAUAAAAAUUCUGAUUACUUUAUUAUCAUGCUUACAAUCUCUUUUCAGGCUUAAUGGGUUUUUUUUUUUGCCUUUUAUACGAUGAAGGAGUAGUUAUAAGUUCAGCAUAAAUUCG